rnacentral:rRNA from 1 species
CGGGACACGUGGUAUCCUGUCUGAAUAUGGGGGGACCAUCCUCCAAGGCUAAAUACUCCUGACUGACCGAUAGUGAACCAGUACCGUGAGGGAAAGGCGAAAAGAACCCCGGCGAGGGGAGUGAAAAAGAACCUGAAACCGUGUACGUACAAGCAGUGGGAGCACGCUUAGGCGUGUGACUGCGUACCUUUUGUAUAAUGGGUCAGCGACUUAUAUUCUGUAGCAAGGUUAACCGAAUAGGGGAGCCGAAGGGAAACCGAGUCUUAACUGGGCGUUAAGUUGCAGGGUAUAGACCCGAAACCCGGUGAUCUAGCCAUGGGCAGGUUGAAGGUUGGGUAACACUAACUGGAGGACCGAACCGACUAAUGUUGAAAAAUUAGCGGAUGACUUGUGGCUGGGGGUGAAAGGCCAAUCAAACCGGGAGAUAGCUGGUUCUCCCCGAAAGCUAUUUAGGUAGCGCCUCGUGAAUUCAUCUCCGGGGGUAGAGCACUGUUUCGGCAAGGGGGUCAUCCCGACUUACCAACCCGAUGCAAACUGCGAAUACCGGAGAAUGUUAUCACGGGAGACACACGGCGGGUGCUAACGUCCGUCGUGAAGAGGGAAACAACCCAGACCGCCAGCUAAGGUCCCAAAGUCAUGGUUAAGUGGGAAACGAUGUGGGAAGGCCCAGACAGCCAGGAUGUUGGCUUAGAAGCAGCCAUCAUUUAAAGAAAGCGUAAUAGCUCACUGGUCGAGUCGGCCUGCGCGGAAGAUGUAACGGGGCUAAACCAUGCACCGAAGCUGCGGCAGCGACGCUGAUGCGUUGUUGGGUAGGGGAGCGUUCUGUAAGCCUGUGAAGGUGUGCUGUGAGGCAUGCUGGAGGUAUCAGAAGUGCGAAUGCUGACAUAAGUAACGAUAAAGCGGGUGAAAAGCCCGCUCGCCGGAAGACCAAGGGUUCCUGUCCAACGUUAAUCGGGGCAGGGUGAGUCGACCCCUAAGGCGAGGCCGAAAGGCGUAGUCGAUGGGAAACAGGUUAAUAUUCCUGUACUUGGUGUUACUGCGAAGGGGGGACGGAGAAGGCUAUGUUGGCCGGGCGACGGUUGUCCCGGUUUAAGCGUGUAGGCUGGUUUUCCAGGCAAAUCCGGAAAAUCAAGGCUGAGGCGUGAUGACGAGGCACUACGGUGCUGAAGCAACAAAUGCCCUGCUUCCAGGAAAAGCCUCUAAGCAUCAGGUAACAUCAAAUCGUACCCCAAACCGACACAGGUGGUCAGGUAGAGAAUACCAAGGCGCUUGAGAGAACUCGGGUGAAGGAACUAGGCAAAAUGGUGCCGUAACUUCGGGAGAAGGCACGCUGAUAUGUAGGUGAAGCGACUUGCUCGUGGAGCUGAAAUCAGUCGAAGAUACCAGCUGGCUGCAACUGUUUAUUAAAAACACAGCACUGUGCAAACACGAAAGUGGACGUAUACGGUGUGACGCCUGCCCGGUGCCGGAAGGUUAAUUGAUGGGGUCAGCGCAAGCGAAGCUCUUGAUCGAAGCCCCGGUAAACGGCGGCCGUAACUAUAACGGUCCUAAGGUAGCGAAAUUCCUUGUCGGGUAAGUUCCGACCUGCACGAAUGGCGUAAUGAUGGCCAGGCUGUCUCCACCCGAGACUCAGUGAAAUUGAACUCGCUGUGAAGAUGCAGUGUACCCGCGGCAAGACGGAAAGACCCCGUGAACCUUUACUAUAGCUUGACACUGAACAUUGAGCCUUGAUGUGUAGGAUAGGUGGGAGGCUUUGAAGUGUGGACGCCAGUCUGCAUGGAGCCGGCCUUGAAAUACCACCCUUUAAUGUUUGAUGUUCUAACGUUGACCCGUGAUCCGGGUUGCGGACAGUGUCUGGUGGGUAGUUUGACUGGGGCGGUCUCCUCCUAAAGAGUAACGGAGGAGCACGAAGGUUGGCUAAUCCUGGUCGGACAUCAGGAGGUUAGUGCAAUGGCAUAAGCCAGCUUGACUGCGAGCGUGACGGCGCGAGCAGGUGCGAAAGCAGGUCAUAGUGAUCCGGUGGUUCUGAAUGGAAGGGCCAUCGCUCAACGGAUAAAAGGUACUCCGGGGAUAACAGGCUGAUACCGCCCAAGAGUUCAUAUCGACGGCGGUGUUUGGCACCUCGAUGUCGGCUCAUCACAUCCUGGGGCUGAAGUAGGUCCCAAGGGUAUGGCUGUUCGCCAUUUAAAGUGGUACGCGAGCUGGGUUUAGAACGUCGUGAGACAGUUCGGUCCCUAUCUGCCGUGGGCGCUGGAGAACUGAGGGGGGCUGCUCCU